GCUUACGGCCACACCGCCUGGUUCACGCCGGAGUUGACGGAAGCUAAGAUAGGUUGGGCCUGGUUAGUACUUGGAUGGGAGACCGCCUGGGAAUACCAGGUGCUGUAAGCU
rnacentral:rRNA from 1 species